rnacentral:rRNA from 1 species
UACGUAGGGGGCGAGCGUUGUCCGGAAUUACUGGGCGUAAAGGGUGCGUAGGCGGCGCGGUAAGUCGGGUGUGAAAUCUCGGAGCUUAACUCCGAAACUGCAUUCGAUACUGCCGUGCUUGAGGACUGGAGAGGAGACUGGAAUUCACGGUGUAGCAGUGAAAUGCGUAGAGAUCGUGAGGAAGACCAGUGGCGAAGGCGGGUCUCUGGACAGUUCCUGACACUGAGGCACGAAGGCCAGGGGAGCAAACGGG